rnacentral:rRNA from 1 species
CAGUAGCCGCGGUAAUACGUAGGUGGCAAGCGUUGUCCGGAAUUAUUGGGCGUAAAGGGCUCGCAGGCGGUUUCUUAAGUCUGAUGUGAAAGCCCCCGGCUCAACCGGGGAGGGUCAUUGGAAACUGGGAAACUUGAGUGCAGAAGGGGAGAGUGGAAUUCCACGUGUAGCGGUGAAAUGCGUAGAGAUGUGGAGGAACACCAGUGGCGAAGGCGACUCUCUGGUCUGUAACUGACGCUGAGGAGCGAAAGCGUGGGGAGCGAACAGGAUUAGAGACCCGUGUAGUCCCUGUCUCUUAUAC